UACAGAGGUCUCAAGCGUUGUUCGGAUUCAUUGGGCGUAAAGGGUGUGUAGGUGGCGCCGUAAGUCGGGUGUGAAAUCUCGGGGCUUAACUCCGAAACUGCAUUCGAUACUGCGGUGCUUGAGGACUGGAGAGGAGACUGGAAUUCAUGGUGUAGCAGUGAAAUGCGUAGAGAUCAUGAGGAAGACCAGUGGCGAAGGCGGGUCUCUGGACCGGUUCUGACGCUGAGGCGCGAAAGCGUGGGGAUCAAACAGG
rnacentral:rRNA from 1 species